GACGAACGCUGGCGGCGCGCUUAACACAUGCAAGUCGAACGGAAAGGCCUGCUUUCCCUUGUGGAUUGCGGGUACUCGAGUGGCGAACGGGUGAGUAACACGUGAGUGAUCUGCCCCCAACUUGGGUAUAAGCCUGGGAAACUGGGUCUAAUUCCCGAUAGGACUGCAGGGUGGUGCCUGUGGUGGAAAACGAUUUUCUAGUGGUUGGGGAUGAGCUCGCGGCCUAUCAGCUUGUUGGUGGGGUAAUGGCCUACCAAGGCGGCGACGGGUAGCCGGCCUGAGAGGGUGGACGGCCACAUUGGGACUGAGAUACGGCCCAGACUCCUACGGGAGGCAGCAGUGGGGAAUAUUGCACAGUGGGCGGAAGCCUGAUGCAGCGACGCCGCGUGGGGGAUGACGGCCUUCGGGCUGUAAACUCCUUUCGACCGCAAGGAAGCCACCUGGUUGGAAGGGUGGUGACGGUAGUGGUAGAAGAAGCACCGGCUAACUACGUG
rnacentral:rRNA from 1 species